rnacentral:misc_RNA from 1 species
GAUGAAGAACGUAGCGAAAUGCGAUAAGUAAUGUGAAUUGCAGAAUUCAGUGAAUCAUCGAAUCUUUGAACGCACAUUGCGCCCCCUGGUAUUCCGGGGGGCAUGCCUGUCCGAGCGUCAUUACAACCCUCAAGCUCAGCUUGGUGUUGGGCCCCGCCGCCCCGGCGGGCCCUAAAGUCAGUGGCGGUGCCGUCCGGCUCCGAGCGUAGUAAUUCUUCUCGCUCUGGAGGUCCGGUCGUGUGCUCGCCAGCAACCCCCAAUUUUUUUCAGGCUGACCUCGGAUCAGGUAGGGAUACCCGCUGAACUUAAGCAUAUCAAUAAGCGGAGGA